GGUGGGGUAGCCUAGUGGUUAAAGCGAAUACCCGGGUUCGAUGUCCCCAAUGGGCACAAUGUAUGAAGCCCAUUUCUGGUGUCCCCCUGCGUGAUAUUGCUGGAAUGUUGC